rnacentral:rRNA from 1 species
UACAGAGGUGGCAAGCGUUGUUCGGAAUUACUGGGCGUAAAGGGCGAGUAGGUGGCCAUCUAAGUCAGACGUGAAAUCCCCCGGCUUAACCUGGGAACUGCGUCUGAUACUGGAUGGCUUGGAUUCGGGAGAGGAAUGCGGAAUUCCAGGUGUAGCGGUGAAAUGCGUAGAUAUCUGGAGGAACACCGGUGGCGAAGGCGGCAUUCUGGACCGAUAUUGACGCUGAGGAGCGAAAGCCAGGGGAGCAAACGGG